rnacentral:rRNA from 1 species
UACGUAGGUGGCAAGCGUUGUCCGGAUUUACUGGGCGUAAAGAGCGCGCAGGCGGUCGUUCAAGUCGAGGGUGAAAGCCCCCGGCUUAACCGGGGAGGGUCGUUGGGGACGGCGGGGCUUGAGGGCGGGAGAGGGUGGUGGAAUUCCCAGUGUAGAGGUGAAAUUCGUAGAUAUUGGGAAGAACACCGGUGGCGAAGGCGGCGCUCUGGACCGAGACUGACGCUGAGGCGCGAAAGCGUGGGGAGCAAACAGG